UCAGGCCUAACACAUGCAAGUCGUACGAGAGUUUGAAACUCAAGUGGCGGACGGGUGAGUAACACGUAAGAAUUUACCUUUAGGAGGGGGACAACAGAGGGAAACAGCUGCUAAUACCCCAUAUGCUUUCGAGUGAAAUGGAUUUUUCCGCCUAGAGAGAAGCUUGCGGCUGAUUAGCUUGUUGGUGAGGUAAUGGCUUACCAAGGCGACGAUCAGUAUCUGGUUUGAGAGGACGAUCAGACACACUGGAACUGAGACACGGUCCAGACUCCUACGGGAGGCAGCAGUGGGGAAUUUUCCGCAAUGGGCGAAAGCCUGACGGAGCAAUCUCGCGUGAGGGAUGACUGCCUAUGGGUUGUAAACCUCUUUUUUCAGGGAGGAAUUAAUGACGUGUACCUGAAGAAUAAGCAUCGGCUAACUCCGUGCCAGCAGCCGCGGUAAGACGGAGGAUGCAAGUGUUAUCCGGAAUCACUGGGCGUAAAGCGUCUGUAGGUGGUUUAAUAAGUCAACUGUUAAAUCUUGAAGCUCAACUUCAAAAUCGCAGUCGAAACUAUUAGACUAGAGUAUAGUAGGGGUAAAGGGAAUUUCCAGUGGAGCGGUGAAAUGCGUAGAGAUUGGAAAGAACACCGAUGGCGAAGGCACUUUACUGGGCUAUUACUGACACUCAGAGACGAAAGCUAGGGUAGCAAAUGGGAUUAGA
rnacentral:rRNA from 1 species